rnacentral:lncRNA from 1 species
CUUACAUGUGAGAGGUAAACAUUGGAUGCACAUGGAAACAAAGAUAGGAACAAUAAACACUGGGAAUUCCAAAAAGAAGAAAGAAGGAAGGGAAAACAAGCCCUGAAAAACUACGUAUCUACAAAAUUAGCCGGGCGUGGUGGCACAUGCCUGUAAUCCCAGCUAUUCAAGAAGCUGAGGCAGGAGAAUCGCUUGAACCCGGGAGGUGGAGGUUGCAGUGAGCCGAAAUUGCGCCAUUGCACUCCAGCCUGGACAAGAGCAAAACUCUGUCUCAAAAAAAAAAAAAAAAAAAGAUUAAAGGCGCACACUGUCCACAGGCAAGAGGAUUAAAUUAGCAUUGCAUUUCUUUGUUUUUAAAAGAAAAAUCUUAUUAGAUUCUUAUACAAAGUGUGGCAAAUAUAAAACUUGCUUGAAAAUAUGGAAAUUAAAUUUUUAAGAGAGUUAAUAGUAAACGAAUUUAAUUUUCUUUUUUUAUUUUUACUUUUUAUUUUUUAGAGACAGAGUCUUGCUCUGUCUCCCAGGCUAGAGUACAGUGGUGUGAUCUUGGCUCACUGCAAGCUCCGCCUUCCGGGUUCACGCCAUUCUCCCGCCUCAGCCUCCCGAGUAGCUGGGACUACAGGCGCCCGCUACCGCACCCGUCUAAUUUUUUUGUAUUUUUAGUAGAGACGGGAUUUCACCAUGUUAGCCAGGAUGGUCUCAAUCUCCUGACCUCGUGAUCCGCCCGCCUCGACCUCCCAAAGUGGUGGGAUUACAGGCAUGAGCCACAGUGCCCGGCCACGAAUUUAAUUUUCUAUGAUAUAAUUACAGCACAAUUUACAUUUCCGUGCAGAAUCUUUUAAGUGUGGUGGUAAAGAUUGCAAAAUAAUAAAAUGACCUCUGAAUUUAAAAUUUAGAAAAAUAUGUCUUUUCUAUAUUGAUUUUACAAUUUGGAGAAAUUUCUCUUAUUUUUUAUAUUUUUUCUUUUAGUGGGAGAAGUUUAGUCUACGGUUUUUAUUUUUAGUCACCAAGCUGUAGCCAACUCCUGGGUCAUUUUCUCUGAAAAACAUUUGGAGAUCAUGACAAGUUUUGGAUUAAAACAUUCUGUUAUUUUGCAUGCAAACUAGUUUACUGUGUUCACAGACUGGCCAGUCAUGGGACCAUAAGCAACACCUGCCCCUUUAGUGGCUUUCAUACCAUUACCACCAGUACCAGAAACUCCAGGUGGCCCAAGCUUAAAGUAAAAAUCCUAAAGUACAUUGGCUUCUCCCAUGCAAUGUGCUGGGUCCAAACCAUGCUGUUAAAUAUCAGAGUUCCUAUGGUUAUGACUGACAAAUGACAAUAAUAGCCCCAAAAUACAUAUUUUUGAUACUAUUUAGCCAAGAUUACCACAAAGAUACAGUAUUUGACACAUUCUUAUUCUAUAACAUUUUGAAAAUAUUUUCUCUUGACAGAUAAAAAUGUGUACUUUUUCUGUAGAACAUAAUAUUUUGAACAUGCUGUUAAAUAUCAGAGUUCCUAUGAUUAUGACUAAAAAAUUAAAUGACAAUAGUCCCCAAACUAUGUAUUUUCAUACUAUUUAGCCAAAGUAAUCACAAAGACACAGUAUUUGACACAUUGUUAUUCUUUUAUGUCUUAAAAAUAUUUUCUUUCAACUUGAGAAAAUGUGUGCUUUUUCUGUAGAACAUAUUUUGAAGUAUAUAUACAUUGUUAUUAUUUCUAGGUAAUUAAUACCUCACAUAGUUAACAUUUUUGUGGUGAGACCACGUCUUAUCAUUUUUCAAAAAUCCAAAUACAUUAUUAUGAACUAUAGUCACCAUGUUGUACAAUAAAUCUCUUGAACUUAUUUCUCCUAUUUGACUAUAAUUACUUAUUAUUUGACAGACUUUCCAAACCCCCAUUUCUUCUAAAUACCUUGGCAUCUGAUGGUCACCAUUUUACUCUAUACAUCAAUGGGAUUAAGAUUUUUGGAAUCCAUGUAUAGGUGAAAUCAUGAAAUAUUAAUCUUUCUGUGCCUGGCCUAUCCCAACUAAUAUAAUGUCCUCCAGCUUAAUCUAUGUAAUUUAAAAUAAUAUAAUUUUUUUCUUUUUUUUUUUUUUUUUUAAGGCCAGGUGUGGUGUCUUACACCUGUAAUCCCAGCACUGUGGGAAGCCAGGGCAGGUGGAUUGCUUGAGCCCAGGAGUUUGAGACCAGCCUGGUCAACAUGGAAAAUCCCCGUCUCUACAAAAAAAAAAAAAAAAUCUCAGCUGGGCAUGGGCAUGGUAGUGCAUGCCUGUAAUCCCAGCUACUCCAGAGGCUGAGGCAUGAGAAUCCCUUGAGCCAGGGAUGCAGAGGUUGCAGUGAACUGAGAUUGUGCCACUGCAUCCAGCCUGGGUAACAGAGUGAGACUCCGUCUCAAGAGAAAAGGAAUUUUCUUAUUUUAAAAAUAAUAUUCUGUUGUGUAUAUCUACCACAUUGUCUUCAUUUACUCAUUAGAUGUUAAACUGUUUAUUCUGUAUUUUGGCUAUUGUGAAAAGUGCUACAAACAGAAUUGCAAAUGUUUCUUCAUUCUGAUUUUAUUUGUUUUGGAUAUAUAUCCAGUAGUGCAAUUGCUGUUAUGACAUGGUAGUUUAAGUUUUUUGAGAAAUCUCUAUUUUGUUUUUCAUAAUGGCUGUCUUCAUUUACAUUCCAAACCAACAGUGUGCAAGCCUUCCCUUUUCUUCACAUCUUUACCAACGCUUUUUCUUUUUAAUAAGAGUCAUUCUAACAGGAACGAGUUGAUAUCUCCUAGUUUUGUUUUUUCUUUUUUGGCUUGCCUUUUUGUGAUAAUUGACAUUGAGCAUUUUUAAAUAUAUCAGUUGGCCAUUAUGUAUGUAUUUUCUUGAAAAAUACUUAUUUCAGCUACUUAUUUUUAAUAGUUACUUAUUUUUGUUGUAUUGUCAUUUGAGUUUUGUAUAUAUUUUUGAUAUUAACCCCUUGUCACAUGUAUAAUUUGCAAAUAUUUUCUCCCUUUUUUUAGUUGUCACAUUCUGUUCAUUGUAUCAGAUUCUGUGCAGCAGCUUUUUAAUUUGAAGUGAUCUGACUGACUUGUUCUUCCUUUUGUGUCCUGGGAUAUUUAGGUUAAAUCAAAAAACUUGCUGCCCAGACCAAUGUUAUGGGGCUUUCACUCUAUUUUUUGGUAGUAGUAGUUUAAGAGUUUUAGGCCUUACAUUUAAGUGGCUAAUUUAUUUUGAGUUUAUUUUUACAUAUGGUGUGAGAUGAGGGUCUCACUUUUUUUUCUCUGCAUGUGGACAUAAAGUUUUCUAAACAUCAUUUAUUGAAGAUACUGUUAUUUCCCUUAAAAAAAAAAGUCACCUGUAUUUAAAAUCAGUUAGCUGUAAAUACACUGAUAUAUUUCUGCUCUCUUUUUCUUCUGCUCCAUUGGCCUAUAUCUCUGUUUUUAUUCAAGUGACAUACUGUUUUGGUUACCACAGUUUUGUAGUGUAUUUCAAAGUCAGGGUGAUACCUUCUUUUGUCUUGAUUGCUUUGGCUAUUUAGGGUGUUUUGUGGUAACAUAUGAAUUUUAGAUAUGCUUUUUAAAAAUGUCUAUGAAGUAUGUCACUGGUAUUUUGAUAGAGGUUGCAUUAUAUCUGCAGAUCAUUUUGUGUAAUACAAAUAUUUAACUAUUAAAAAUGCCAGUUCAUGAAUGAGUAAUAUUAUUCCAUUUAUGUGUUACUUAAUUUGUAUAAUGUUCUUUAGAGUAGAAUGUAAGGUGUUUCAACUUUUUGGUUAAAUUUACUUCAAACUAUAGUUAGGUAGAUGGAAUUUUUUUGAAUUUCAUUUUGAGAUAGUUACUAAUGUAUAGAAAUGCUAUGACUUUUUGAUGAUGUUUUUGUAUUUUGAAAGUUUAAUAAAUUUUGUUUGUUUAUUU